rnacentral:rRNA from 1 species
UACGAAGGGGCGAGCGUUGUUCGGAAUCACUGGGCGUAAAGGGCGCGUAGGCGGCCCUCUUAGUCGCGUGUGAAAGCCCCGGGCUCAACCUGGGAACGGCGCGCGAAACGGGAGGGCUGGAGUUCGGGAGAGGAGAGUGGAAUUCCCAGUGUAGAGGUGAAAUUCGUAGAUAUUGGGAAGAACACCGGUGGCGAAGGCGGCUCUCGUGGACCGAGACUGACGCUG